AUGGGAACGCGAAGAACCUUACCUAGACUUGACAUCUCCUGAAUAGUGUAGAGAUACAUGAAGCCCUUCGGGGCAGGAAGACAGGUGGUGCAUGGUUGUCGUCAGCUCGUGUCGUGAGAUGUUGGGUUAAGUCCCGCAACGAGCGCAACCCCUAUUAUUAGUUGCUAACAUUAAGUUGAGCACUCUAGUGAGACUGCCCGGGUUAACCGGGAGGAAGGUGGGGAUGACGUCAAAUCAUCAUGCCCCUUAUGUCUAGGGCUACACACGUGCUACAAUGGUGGGAACAAAGAGAUGCAAUACCGCAAGGUGGAGCUAAACUCAAAACCCCAUCCCAGUUCGGAUUGUAGGCUGAAACUCGCCUACAUGAAGCUGGAGUUGCUAGUAAUCGCGAAUCAGAAUGUCGCGGUGAAUACGUUCCCGGGUCUUGUACACACCG
rnacentral:rRNA from 1 species